GACGAACGCUGGCGGCGCGCCUAACACAUGCAAGUCGAACGAGGUUGAGGAGGAGCUUGCUUUUCUUGACUUAGUGGCGAACGGGUGAGUAACGCGUGAGGAACCUGCCUCAAAGAGGGGGACAACAGUUGGAAACGACUGCUAAUACCGCAUAAUGUCAUUUGGGGGCAUCCCUGGAUGACCAAAGAUUUAUUGCUGAAAGAUGGUCUCGCGUCUGAUUAGCUGGUUGGCGGGGUAACGGCCCACCAAGGCGACGAUCAGUAGCCGACCUGAGAGAGUGACCGGCCACAUUGGGACUGAGACACGGCCCAA
rnacentral:rRNA from 1 species